rnacentral:rRNA from 1 species
CAAUAGCGUAUAUUAAAGUUGUUGCGGUAAAAAAGCUCGUAGUUGGAUUUCUACCGAAGAUAGCCGGUCGGGUCUUCGACCUUGUAUCUGGUUUUGUCUUUGGUAUCCUCAUAGGGAACGUUUCUGCGCUUUAUUGCGUGGUGCGGUAUCUAUGACUUUUACUUUGAGGAAAUUAGAGUGUUCACGGCAGGCAAACGCCUUGAAUAUAUUAGCAUGGAAUAAUAACAUAGGAUCUUCGUCCUAUUUUGUUGGUUUCUAGGGCUAAGAUAAUGAUUAAUAGGGAUAAUUGGGGGCAACUGUAUCAACGCGUCAGAGGUGGAAUUCUUGGAUUGCGUUGCGACAAACUACUGCGAAAGCAUUUGCCAAGGAUGUUUUCAUUGA